rnacentral:lncRNA from 1 species
UAAAAUCAAACACUUUGACUUUUCAUCAAAUCUAAGAUUUUAGCUCCAAGAGACUUCUCUUAACCUAUAGUCACGGUAUGCAACUGUUGCAAACAAAACCCGAAUGGACUUAAGCAAGGCUAUAGGAGAACUAUUUCACCAAGGUCAACAUUUAACCUUUGCGUCUAGCAUUGCUUUGUAUAUAUGGAUAUUCAUAUAUAUAUCGACAUUUUCUUUUGUAAACUAUUCACAAAAGUUUAUGGGCUUUAUUCCAUUAGGAGGCAUGACCAAGGUCCAAACCUUGUUC